UGGGGAAUUUUGGACAAUGGGGGCAACCCUGAUCCAGCCAUGCCGCGUGUGGGAAGAAGGCCUUCGGGUUGUAAACCACUUUUGUCAGGGAAGAAAUUGGAUCCGCUAACACCGGGUUCGGAUGACGGUACCUGGAGAAUAAGCACCGGCUAACUACGUGCCAGCAGCCGCGGUAAUACGUAGGGUGCAAGCGUUAAUCGGAAUUACUGGGCGUAAAGCGUGCGCAGGCGGUUUCGCAAGUCAGAUGUGAAAGCCCCGGGCUCAACCUGGGAAUUGCAUUUGAAACUACGAGGCUAGAGUGUGUCAGAGGGGGGUAGAAUUCCACGUGUAGCAGUGAAAUGCGUAGAGAUGUGGAGGAAUACCGAUGGCGAAGGCAGCCCCCUGGGAUGACACUGACGCUCAUGCACGAAAGCGUGGGGAGCAAACAGGAUUAGAUACCCCUGUAGUCC
rnacentral:rRNA from 1 species